UUCAGCUCAUCUUAAGGCAGUAUAUGGCAGCAGCAGCAGAACGAAUAAGAUGAACCUUUCAUCUUCGCUCAACAAUAAGGGACAAACAAUGUCCGCCUUUAGCUCAGUACCAGCUUGUUCAAUUACCUAUCAUAAUGGCUUCUUUAAAACCCUUGCAACUAUGAAAAAUAGAAAGCAAACCUUAACUGUAUCAUCAUCAUUCUCUAUUCCUUUCAAUAAUGAGUUAAUGGAAGAAUUGGUUCCAAUUGUUUCAAGCAGACGAGCUGUAAAUGUAUCGAUUUUAACGGUGUUAUUAUGGGACACUUUAUCAUGCUUUGUUGCUAUGGCGAAUGGUGAAGUGUUAGAGCUAGAAAGAUAUACGGAUUCAGUUGAAGGUUUCACUCUCCUCAGACCUUCUUCUUGGAUUAAGGUUGAUAAAGCUGGGGCAACUGCCCUGUUUCAGGAUACAAACAAGGGAUCCAACAAUGUAGGUGUUGUGGUUAUCCCUGUAAAAAUAACAACCCUUAGCCAAUUCGGGAAUCCACAAUUUGUGGCAGAUAAGCUAAUUCUGGCUGAAAAGCGCAAGGAAAGCACAAAGGAGGCUGAGGUGGUUGCAGUAUCAGAGAGAACAGGCGAAGGAGGUCUUCAAGUGUAUGAGUUUGAGUACAAGGUUGAUAGCACAAGGGGAGGGUUGAAGAGGAUACUUUCUGCUGCAUUUGUGGCGUCUGGGAAGCUCUAUCUGUUAAACAUUGCUCACUCUGAUGGGUUAGAAAGUCCUAUUGACCCAGAUAGAAGAAAUACAUUGGAACAGAUUCUACAUUCCUUUGAUGUUGCUCCUUCCACUUAAAUGGCAUUAAGCUCAUAUUUUUUCUCAUUGGGCUUCGACCGGCCUGCCUGUUGCUGGGAUCAAAACCAAAGUUCUCCAGGAAAUCCUAUGUUAAAUCAGCCACUAUUGGGUGAGGCUUGAUGUUAACGACAGCUCUGCCUGUUGUAAGCUUGAGGGAAAGAUGAAGUAUCAGUGAGGUUCACGACAUCCUGAGAUGAUGGAGAGUUAGCUAAAAGGAACUUAUUUUAUAUUUUUAUUUUGUAUUCUAUUGGUCUGAUAUGAGCUUAAAUUGGCGACACGGUUUAGUGAGGACUCAUAUAGUUGAUCCAUCUAAUGAUCUUUGUUGUCUUAUGUUUCAUGAACAAAAUGAAAAUAAUUUUGAUGUGUUUGGUUCACUCAUGAAAUACUGGAUCAGAAGUGAUAUGGAGAGCAAUUUUUCCAGAGCU